UCUACAUCCGCCGCCGCCAUGCUCGAGCUCUUUGUCCGCCGCCGACGCUACUCUCUGCGGCCGGCUGCGUGCUCUCCAGCCGGCGAGGACGCAACCCCCUCCCCAUCUCCCUCACUUACUUCAGCCUGCGCACCACUGAGCCAACUCCACACCGCCGCAGCUAGGCUCGAGCUCUCUCUCCGCUGCGCUCGCUCGGCCUCCACCUGCAGAGGCUCUCACUGCCGCCACGGGCUCGAGCAGCCUCCGCCGUGAGGUUCUCUCCAUGUUGCUACGCGCUCGAGCACCCUCCGCCUCCAGGUGGUCCUGCCGUUGCCGUCCACACCCUGCCGACGGCUGCCCUUUUCUUCUGCGCCCAAGCUCAGCCAUCGCCCCUAUGUGCCGCCGGCCAAGAAGGUAUGCUCCGAGAUGCCCCUUGCCAGAUCUGAUUAGGACUGUGGGCCGGUUACAGUCCCUCUAAAGGCAUGGCUUUUGUUACCUCUGCUGUUAGGUUUAUAUUAUGUGUGGAUUUGGAAGCUAUUUCUACGUUUACUAUGUGUUUUGAGAAGAAAACUGUGGCCCCAUGCCUUGCUACCAUGAUGCUUGACUGUACGGCAUGCCCCAUUGACAUGCAAUUCAUAUCUGCUGGGAUUUUGAAUUGAAUAGGUGUGAAAUAUCUGGUAGCUAUAUAGAUUCAUUGGCUCUAAAAACUGUUGCCCCAAUGUCUACAAUUUGGGGUCAUGUAGGUGAGGCGUCACUCCUUCAUCAGGUUAUAUGUCAACCUGAAAAUCAUCUAGGCUACAGGAUAGUUCCCCAAGAGCCCCAAUUGCAAGUACAUAUAAUAAAACACUACUCUGCAACUAUAUAAGCAAGGCAUGAUUAGAAAAUUAUUUGCAAAAGUGAGGCUGCACAUGCUUGCGAUUGCUUAUUUCGAGCUCAAGCUUUUAGUUUAUAAUGAUGUGACCACAUGCUUGUGUUUCUUUUCAUGUUUAUUAAUCUGACGGAACUAUAUGAUGCUAAUGAUGGUUGCAGUACUUUAACCUGAAGAGCAUCUUAUUUAUGCCCUGCUUCCCGGAUAUUUUAAAUAUCAGAAUGUUAUGAACAAAUGAAAUCAAACUAUUUGUUGUAAGUUGUAACAUUGGUGGUUUCAUGUCUCCGUUGUUCGCACGGGGCGACCUCAUAGUUUCAUCCAUUGGGACUAAAGUUGGCAAAAGUAACUAGAAGUGAUCAUUUUUUCUGGGUACUAGCUCAUUUGUAGUAGAACACGAUCUAUAUUGUUGGUUUUUGAUGUUUGUUGGCAGUCAUAAAAAUGUCACUACAUAAUUAGGUCAAAUUAUAGAAACCUGAAAUUAUUGUGCACAUAGACCUAAUAUUGACCUGAUGUUGCGGUAACAGCAAGCAAACAAACUGUUGGAUUUAUGUCUUGUUGUAGAGGAAUCUAUUAUUGCUCUGUUUUGCACACUGGUGAAAAUUUAACCACCAGUAUUUUCAAUCCAUAUAUUGAGCUAGGUGUUCACCCUUCGCCGACAUAUUCAUAGAUUUUUUAUGUACUUUGUUUAUUACAAACAUUUAUAUAAACAUAUAAUAUAUUAUAUAUUUAUAUUAAGGACUCCUAGGUUCUAGUUAUUGUACACCUUCUGCUCAAUAUUUUACAGAGUAAUAAAGCAUGGAUGACAAAUUUUGUUGAUCUAGGUUGUCAUAAUUAAUUUGCUUAGUGGAUUUUCAUAAGUAAUUCACAUGCUAUAACUUGGAGGACAGAACUUAGCCAUGCACUAUGCAUGUUAACUAUGAUGGUACUUUGGGAAAAUGGCACACGAUUAGACUGACUUUAUAUGUAAUUGGUGUUAGAAAUGUACUCCCUCCGUCCGGAAAUACUUGUAAGAAAAAUGGAUGUAUCUAGAACUAAAGUACGACUAGAUACAUCCAUUUCUCCGACAAGUAUUUCCGGAUGGAGGGAGUAUUUUGUAAGCAGAUAAGAUCAAUAUGCUCAACAUGCUACCAAUUCUAACGUGUGGUCGUACUUUGAUAUUCCAAAAACAAAAUCAUAUCAUUUUGUAGCUUUCCCCCUCCCCCUUCUGAAAUUUCUUUGAAGCUCCACCACUGCUUGUCACCAUAGGUUACACUCUUGAGUGUUGUUCUGGUUUUGAAAAAUUGGGAACCUAGAGAGGCUAGACAUUGUGCAAUGUAAUUGCUAAUUUGUUCUCUGAGAAGUUUCAGCGGAGGCUUGCUGAGCAGUUCCAGAAGUAGAUGUCUGGUGCUGAGGCUGGCGCCAGCAUUGGUGCUGCCCAGGAUGAUGACGAUGACGUUGUAGAGCUCGUCCCUGGAAAGACAUUCAAGAAGCUGCGGAGGAGAAGAUAGAACCUGAAGUGAAGGAACCAAAGAUGCAGAAUAAGAAAGAUUGUCGUAAUUCAUUAUUGUGAAGGGUUGCUUGUUAGUUUUGGUUUGACUGGCAUCUACCGUGCCAUAGACAAACUCUUGUCAGAACUCUGGCCUACCUUUCAUUUCUAGCCCUCUGGUUGAAGCAGUAAAGUUCUUUUAUGUUGACUUGCAUCAUUAUUGGUUUGAGUUUUCUAAAAAGUAUAUUCAUGAAUCAGUUUCACAAUUCUAUUGAACCAUGUAAGCUAUGAACUAUAUACAUUAUCUGAGACAAUGUUUAGAUGAAGAGAAUAACCAAAAUAUUGUGUAUACCAUCACCAAGUAACAAGAGAAGAUAGACCAACAUUGAUUGUCACUAGUCAAUGUACAGAGCUAUAUAGCGAUAUACUUCUUCUGGUUGUUUUUUAUUAAAAUUUAGUUGUUUGACACCCAUCUCCCCCAACUAACUUUCAGUGACCAGGUGCCUAUCCAUGGCGGCAACGACAUCGUGAAUGAUUUGGAAAAUGUAGUAGCAUGAUGGACAAAGGUCACAAACAGAUCUUGGCUUCAAAGUUACAUUCAAAUAUGUCACUUUCUUUGCAUUCAAGAGGAUUUGGAGCCUCGGUUUGUUGGUGAAGUAACGUUUGAAGGAGAUAUUAAAUUGUUGUUUGUGAUAGCAAGUGACUUGCCUAUAGCAGAGGACUUUGAGCAUGUCACUGAUUUGCAAAUAUUGAAGGAUCCACCUAUCCCCAUGGGUAAAUUCGUUGCUUAGGAAAUGCUUUUGCUGCUACCUAUUAUUAAUCAUCUAAUUUCUUACUCCUUUCAUUUAUGCAGGAAUGGCCUGAAGAGCGGUAUCCCCAUGUCCUGAAGAGAAUUGUCCUUUCAUUUAGCAAAUGCUUUCUCUGCUAGAUUUGUUACUCCUUUCAAGUAUCCUAGGAUAUAGCAAAAUAAGUUACAGGAAACACAAAAGAGGGGAGCUAAAGCUACCCAUUUCCCCAUAAGUGAUAAUGAAUUCUCUUUAGUUGCUUUGGUAUGAAAUGAUACUGAAGGCAGCUUCAAGAAAAUAUCACGUUGUCCAGUUAUCGUGCGGAAAUAUUAACCAGGGAUUUUGACUUGCAGAUUUUCAAACUGGAGGAUGUUCUCCAAUGAUAUUUAGAAGGAAGGCUUUGAUGUCAAGUACUAGAAGGACACAAGGAUCUUGGUUGAAGGCUGUGAGGAUGUGUAUUUAGUUGCCCACUAUAAGGAGCCAAGGCAGAUGAUGUGCCUCUUAAGACAAAUUCUAGAAAAUAAUGUGAGGAAUUUUUGCUCUUAGGCAAUGAACAAUAAUGUUUACUCUG